UAUGGCCAUAUCACCAUGAAAAACCUGUUCCUAUAUGAACACUGAAGUUAAGUGAUAUUGAGCCUAGUCAGUAUCUAGAGGGGUGACCACUUUGAAAUACCUGGUGUUAU